UGUCUUGUAAUUGGAAUGAUGGUGACCUAAACCCUCACCAGAGUAACAAUUGGAGGGCAAGUCUGGUGCCAGCAGCCGCGGUAAUUCCAGCUCCAAUAGCGUAUAUUAAACUUGUUGCAGUUAAAAAGCUCGUAGUUGAAUUUCUGCGUUAUCGAGUUAUUGACUCUUGUCUUUAAUCGAUUUCGCUUUUGGGAUUUAUCCCUUUUUACUUUGAGAAAAUUAGAGUGUUUCAAGCAGACUUUUGUCUUGAAUACUUCAGCAUGGAAUAAUAGAGUAGGACUUUGGUUCUAUUUUGUUGGUUUUUGAACCUUAGUAAUGGUUAAUAGGAACGGUUGGGGGCAUUCGUAUUUAACUGUCAGAGGUGAAAUUCUUAGAUUUGUUAAAGACGAACUACUGCGAAAGCAUUUGCCAAGGACGUUUCCAUUAAUCAAGAACGAAAGUUAGGGGAUCGAAGACGAUCAGAUACCGUCGUAGUCCUAACCAUAAACUA
rnacentral:rRNA from 1 species